GACGAACGCUGGCGGCGUGCUUAACACAUGCAAGUCGAACGGAAAGGCCCUGCUUUUGUGGGGUGCUCGAAUGGCGAACGGGUGAGUAACACGUGAGUAACCUGCCCUUGACUUUGGGAUAACUUCAGGAAACUGGGGCUAAUACCGGAUAGGAGCUCCUGCUGCAUGGUGGGGGUUGGAAAGUUUCGGCGGUUGGGGAUGGACUCGCGGCUUAUCAGCUUGUUGGUGGGGUAGUGGCUUACCAAGGCUUUGACGGGUAGCCGGCCUGAGAGGAUGACCGGCCACAUUGGGACUGAGAUACGGCCCAGACUCCUACGGGAGGCAGCAGUGGGGAAUAUUGCACAAUGGGCGGAAGCCUGAUGCAGCAACGCCGCGUGCGGGAUGACGGCCUUCGGGUUGUAAACCGCUUUCGCCUGUGACGAAGCGUGAGUGACGGUAAUGGGUAAAGAAGCACCGGCUAACUACGUG
rnacentral:rRNA from 1 species